GGCUGGACACGAGCGAAAAGGUUCCCACUUGCCCAAUGGUUUAAAUUAGAGACUCGUCUAAAAAAGAUCACAGAGGUCGCCGGCCGUUUAAACAUCCGGUCGUUAUUAGGCUCAAUUUAGAAAGUGAAAGAAAAGUUUUGUCGACUUUUUAAAACUCUUCCUGAAAGAAGGAGUUGGUCAAUAAAUAGAAACACCAUCCUGUUACCCUGACGUCUUAAAGAAACAGUCGGUCAUUUCGCUAUUACCCAGCGUGAGUCUCGGGUGCUAUUUAAAGGCGGAUUGCAAAACGGCAACACGCGGAGUUCUCUCCUUCAAACAUUUUAAAAUAUAUAUUGAAGUAUUAAGAGCCCGAGCUUUCGGCGAUGCUAUUGACAUUUUCUUAUUUGGAUAAAGCAAAGGCAACUGAAAAAUCACCUUCUCUAAGCUCACUAUUACCUGAAACUUAAGACCGUUCACACAGAAUAAAAACACAAAAACGGUUUGCCCCUUUUCCGGCUGAUGUGACUACCUCAGCAUGAAAGUGAAGGGACAUUCCACUCCCCUUUAAGAUUUGCAGAAUCCAGCUCUCCCCAAGACUGUCAUCAUUGUCGAAAUCUGCUUUUCAAACAGUUGUGUUUUAAUAGAUAAAAGGCGAGACGGAAUUAAAAUCCACAGAAGGCGAUCAGAGACUGGUAUUACCCCCCCUCCACCAAGCUGCUUGGAGCUCCCUGUUUCUUAAUCUGCAUCAGCCAUUGCUAAUUUACAGGAAUGAUGACCAGCACAUGCGGGUAGUUUGGACACGGCUCGUUUCUCCCAAACGUCGCUAAGUGGCCCAUUUCUGCACUCGGUAAGCACUAGAAACUGUAGCACUUCCCUCGCUCAUUAUUCCCAGUCAUGUUGUGCAAAUAUUGGAGUAAUCCCCCUUAUCCCUUUCCUGACUAUUUCUUCACUUCAGUGUGCUGAAUGAUGCACUUGACUAAAUCCACCCAGCUUGUGUGUUUUGCAACAAGCCUGACUGAUGGGCUUUUACCAAUUUCUCCUUAGUCACGAAAUACACGGAUGGAGAGCGGCAGUCGCUAAAUAAAUCCCGUCCCAGACCCUCCAACAUCAUCACUCUGUGCAUGGCUGCACGUGCUUGGAAACCAUAUCACAAAAAUACCAUUAGCUCGAAACGCCUGGUGCCAAAUGAAUUAAAGAUACACGGAUGUCUUAUAUUAAAGCAGGUGCACCAAUACAGGACUCACUCUACACUAAACCAACACCCAAACCCUCCAACACGGUUAAAGAAAUGUUCCUUUUUUUAAGUAAAGUGAUUUAAGUUCUAUUCAAGAUACACGACUUUUUUCCUCCUUCUACUAGAUCUGCUUGCACUCCAGUAUUUAAAUACAUCUUAUUGAACUGAGGUACGCUGUUGUUCAUAGCA